GACGAACGCUGGCGGCGUGCUUAACACAUGCAAGUCGAACGGAAAGGCCCUGCUUUUGUGGGGUGCUCGAGUGGCGAACGGGUGAGUAACACGUGAGUAACCUGCCCUUGACUUUGGGAUAACUUCAGGAAACUGGGGCUAAUACCGGAUAGGAGCUCCUGCUGCAUGGUGGGGGUUGGAAAGUUUCGGCGGUUGGGGAUGGACUCGCGGCUUAUCAGCUUGUUGGUGGGGUAGUGGCUUACCAAGGCUUUGACGGGUAGCCGGCCUGAGAGGGUGACCGGCCACCUUGGGACUGAGAUACGGCCCCGACUCCUACGGGGGGCAGCAGGGGGGAAUAUUGCACAAUGGGCGGAAGCCUGAUGCAGCAACGCCGCGUGCGGGAUGACGGCCUUCGGGUUGGAAACCGCUUUCGCCUGUGACGAAGCGUGAGUGACGGUAAUGGGUAAAGAAGCACCGGCUAACUACGUG
rnacentral:rRNA from 1 species